GAUUAAACCAUUUGUUACAUAUAAAGUGGGAAAAUAUGACUGAAAUUCUCAAGUUUGUUUGUGUUAUGAUUAUAUUUAUCUCCUCAUUUAUUGUUUCAAAAAGUUUGAAUGGGGGUGGUAAAGAUAAAUGCUUUAGAGAUUCUGAUUGUCCAAAACAUAUGUGCCCAUCUUCUUUGGUUGCGAAGUGUAUCAAUAGGCUCUGCAGGUGUCGUAGACCGGAGUUGCAAGUACAACUUAAUCCCUAGUGAUUUUGUAUUUAGUGAAAGAACCAAGACAGGACACAAAAGUCUUUUAGAAUAUUACAUAAUCUAUCAUUUAUCUAUUUUGCUGGCAUCCAAUAAUUGAAUUUUUAUCGUUCUAAUUUCAAGAACCUUGUAGUAAUGGCUUUGGACUC